UGGUGGGUAGUUUGACUGGGGCGGUCUCCUCCUAAAGAGUAACGGAGGAGCACGAAGGUUGGCUAAUCCUGGUCGGACAUCAGGAGGUUAGUGCAAUGGCAUAAGCCAGCUUGACUGCGAGCGUGACGGCGCGAGCAGGUGCGAAAGCAGGUCAUAGUGAUCCGGUGGUUCUGAAUGGAAGGGCCAUCGCUCAACGGAUAAAAGGUACUCCGGGGAUAACAGGCUGAUACCGCCCAAGAGUUCAUAUCGACGGCGGUGUUUGGCACCUCGAUGUCGGCUCAUCACAUCCUGGGGCUGAAGUAGGUCCCAAGGGUAUGGCUGUUCGCCAUUUAAAGUGGUACGCGAGCUGGGUUUAGAACGUCGUGAGACAGUUCGGUCCCUAUCUGCCGUGGGCGCUGGAGAACUGAGGGGGGCUGCUCCUAGUACGAGAGGACCGGAGUGGACGCAUCACUGGUGUUCGGGUUGUCAUGCCAAUGGCACUGCCCGGUAGCUAAAUGCGGAAGAGAUAAGUGCUGAAAGCAUCUAAGCACGAAACUUGCCCCGAGAUGAGUUCUCCCUGAGACUUAGAGUCUCCUGAAGGAACGUUGAAGACGACGACGUUGAUAGGCCGGGUGUGUAAGCGCAGCGA
rnacentral:rRNA from 1 species